rnacentral:rRNA from 1 species
GACGAACGCUGGCGGCGUGCUUAACACAUGCAAGUCGAACGGAAAGGCCCUGCUUUUGUGGGGUGCUCGAGUGGCGAACGGGUGAGUCACACGUGAGUAACCUGCCCUUGACUUUGGGAUAACUUCAGGAAACUGGGGCUAAUACCGGAUAGGAGCUCCUGCUGCAUGGUGGGGGUUGGAAAGUUUCGGCGGUGGGGGAUGGACUCGCGGCUUAUCAGCUUGUUGGUGGGGUAGUGGCUUACCAAGGCUUUGAUGGGUAGCCGGCCUGAGAGGGUGACCGGCCACAUUGGGACUGAGAUGCGGCCCAGACUCCUACGGGAGGCAGCGGUGGUGAAUAUUGCACAAUGGGCGGAAGCCUGAUGCAGCAACGCCGCGUGCGGGAUGACGGCCUUCGGGUUGUAAACCGCUUUCGCCUGUGACGAAGCGUGAGUGACGGUAAUGGGUAAAGAAGCACCGGCUAACUACGUG